rnacentral:lncRNA from 1 species
GAAAAAAGUUAAGAGACACGAGAAAGACAGUUCGGAAUUAAGUCAAAUCGGCACACCAUUAAGUUUUUUGGGGAAAGACGGCUUCAAGCCGUCAAUUCCCUAAUGGGGUUGGCCAGAGUAUCAUUCCCUCACGUCAAUCAUUUUGUUUUGAUAGUUUGGAAACCCCCUCAAAAUGUCAUACUGAAAUUGAUGACAAGGAGAACAGAUUGACUUUAAAUACAUUUUUUUACACAUUUCCCUUCUGUUUCUCAUGAAAUUAUCGUAUAUUGAGCUUUCCCUUACACUAUAUACGUUUCUUUUACAGUCCGGAAAAAUCAGUAUUACGAAAUAUUCUUAAUAUAUCUAACCUAGUGACGUCAUUGUUGGAAUGCCACACUACACAGGGAUAUCCUUUAUUCAGUAUAAAAAUCAUUCACAGUACUUGUAUACUAAAAAAUCCGUAUUUGUUAAAUAUAAACCUAAUGGUGUUUGCUGUAGUGUAGAUGAUCACACACCAACAUGAAAUGCUUGAAUCUGAGGCUAUAAUCAGAUAAUAUGUAGGUCAACUUUCGCGGUAAACAAUGUCAAUGGGGAUACAUGAGAUUGGGAGAGAAACGGCAGUUUUCAUUGUUUCUGUAAAGUUCUGUUUUUAGAAUCUUCCUCCAAUUCAGGAGCACCUCAAUUGAUGAGUAAUUUUACACUAAAAUCAAAGUAAAUGUUUCUGAACAUUUAAAAUGUGACAUUUAGUAUAUGAUAAGUAGUCUUCUAUAUAAAAAAAAAUGUGUACCAACAUAAUUAUUGAAAUGGUUAAAAAAAAAAAAAAAAAAAAAAAAAAUGUUGCUUUUUGUAGUUUAUACCUAUUUGAGAUUGGGGAGAGCAACUGCAGUUUUUCAUUCUUUCUGUAAAGUUAUGUUUUUAGAAUCUUUCUCCAAUUAAGGAGCACCUCAAUUGAUGAGUAAUUACCCACUAAAAUGAAAGUUAAUGUAUAUGAACACUAAAAAUGUCACAUUAAGUAUAUAUAUGAUAAGUAGUCAUCAAUUAAAAAAUAAUUUUGCGUACCAACAUAAUUAUUGUAGUGGUCAUUUUUUUUCUCAUUUUUUUUUUAAAUAUUGCUUUUUGUAGUUUAAAGCUAUUUAUUCAUGAAUUUUACAGAUAUAUCAAAAUGUGGGAUCUGGAAACAAACUUCACACAGCUUUUAUAUCAAUCAUAUUUGAUUUUAUAAGUACAUGUAUCCCUGUGAUGAGAGUUGUAACUGGGAACUUUAUCAAUGGAAAAUUAAAACUGAAUAGAUUUUUCAGUCCUCACUUUCUUGAGAAUAUUGUCACAAAAAAAUUGAGAAUAGUCUUAGCCUGCCGUUCAGUUGUACAUAAUUAAAAUUUUAAAAUAUAAUGUAGUAGUUGUUAAAUUCAAUUGAAUUUUAGAUAAUUAACUCCCAACUUAAAUCAAAUGUUUUGAUUUAGAAGGUGCAGAUCUCAUUGGUCCAAAUUGUCUCUAUGAUGAAUUCUUGACUAAGGAAAUGAAAUAACAAUAAACAACAAUUAGUUUCAUUAUUGUCAGCCUUUCUAUAUGUUCUAGCUGUUCUUUUGCUCAUUCUUUGUAUGUAGACUAUCAAAAGAUACCCCCUAAAAAUUGGAACAAUGGCCGUCUUUUCCCC